GGAUCAAUAUGUUGGUCGUGCCUUGGUACGUACUAAUUUAUUGGUUUCUUCCUUCUGACGAACCUUGAUGUCAUUUAUUUGGUGUGAUGGGAAAUCAGGACUGUUACUUUGAAAAAAUUAGAGUGUUUAAAGCAGGCUAACGUCUGAAUACAUUAGCAUGGAAUAAUGAAAUAGGACGGACUGAUUCUAUUUCGUUGGUUUCUAGGAUCACCGUA
rnacentral:rRNA from 1 species